CUGCCUGGGGAAAGCGUCCACACGUCCAUGCCCGUCGCCCUCCGUAUCGCUGGAGCUGAGAACCAGGACCGGGAAACCAGGAAGGCUUUGGAGGAGGAACUACUUGAGCUGGGCUUCAGCAUCCCAGGUAUCUCAGACUGGAAGGAACGAUCCUACCGGGAGCAGUUCUCAAGCUUUGUAGCCUCAGGACCCUUUCUUCAAAGAAUCAUUGUAUAGAAACACAGUAUAUAAAACAGAUUAAAAAGCAGCUACUCUGGUGGGCGCUGGGCAGGGAGUACAGCUCAGCCCUCCUUUCUACGGCGCCCGGGAAACCCCUCAAACGCCAAAGGCUCCACAGAAUGUGGUGCGAAAACCCCGGACUCAGGCCAUUUUACAGAUGAGUGCCACCAGGCGGGGGGGAGUUUUCUAGGAACCAACAGUCUGGGAGAGCUGGAGGCAAGUCGACGAGCAUCUUGGUUUCUCCUGUGUCGCUGAGACUCGGCUCUCACCCAAGUAGCUCACGAAGUGGGACGGAACCCAAAUGAGACACGGAGUGGAAGACACAGAAGACACGAUGAGCACGUCAAACCCCUUUGACUGCUGACGAGGAAGGGAGGGGAGUGACUGGGACAUAACUUGGACCUGUCCCCCAGAGACCUGCCCAGACCUCUCUCCAUUCCCAAGUAGAACUCAGCCUCUCUGGCCUAGAGCUGCCCAUGGGGACUGGCUGUCCUGUUAUCACACAGCCAGGCUGGGAGGGCCAGGUCUCCUCUGGGACAGUCGGCUCCCUAGAGGGAGGGCAGGUGGGCCCUUCCUCCUGAGCAUGAGCAGAGGUCUGGCCUUGACUCAAAAGAGAGUCUAAUAGGGCAUCUUGGUUGCUACUCGGCAGCUCACUGCUGAGGGAGGGCAGCAGGGACUGGACCAAACCAACCUGCUCUUCCACACCCUUUUCUGUGUCUUACAAAGGAGAACAGUGGUGUCUGGGACUGGAACUUCAAAAACUGCCUGAACACAGCCACUGAAAUGUUAGAGCAUGGGGUGCGGGGGGAGGGGUUAUUGGGGGUUUGGACCCAGGGAUUUCUGGGUCUCCUUCUUGUAGACCAGGGCCAUCCAACCCUAUAGGAAGGCAGAUGAGCCAGAGCAGCUUAGGUAGCGACAGGCCCAAAGGAUUGGAAGAACCCAGUAGCAAUCAAAAACUUCAACCUCACAACAAGAAUGGCCCAAGCCACCCUGGUCGGGCUGCUCAAUGGUUAGAGCGUCGACCCUGGGACUGGAGGGUCUCAGGUUCAAUUCUGGCCAAAGGUAUGUACCUCGAUCCUGGGCUCCGGUCUGGGCAUGUGCAGUAGGCAUCCAAUCAAUGUGUCUCUCUCACAUCAAUGUUUCUCUCUGUCUCUCCCCCUCUCUUCCACUCUGUCUAAAAACUCAAUGGAAAAAAAUAUCCUUGGAUGAGGAUUAAAAAAAAAAAAAGAAGAAGAAUGGCCCGAACCAACAGCAGACACCCCACUCCAGCGGGUAACCCAGCCACCUCUCUGGCCUCAGUUUUAGAAAGCAGGAUUGAAAGCAUUUUCAAUUACCUUUGACUCUAGCAGGUCUGUUCGCUUUAUUAUUGUUACGGGUGGUUACAAGGAAUGUGUGGAUCUGGACUCGUGGGGAGAGGCUUACAAGCAAGUUCUGAGGCAGGGGGAAACCAGUCAAAACAUUUGCAUUUGCUACGGAAAAUUUGAGAAAUGAUUUCUUAACACUGAGACACUUUAAAAUAGAAAUACAUUAAAAUUCACUUGGGACUUGA